rnacentral:rRNA from 1 species
AGCUCCAAUAGCGUAUAUUAAAGUUGUUGCGGUUAAAAAGCUCGUAGUUGGAUUUCUGCCUGAGGCAGCCGGUCCGCACAUCGUGCGUGUAUCUGGUUUGGUUUGGGCAUCCUCUUGGGGAUCGUUGCUGUGCUUAGUUGCAUGGUGCGGAAUUCAAGACUUUUACUUUGAGGAAAUUAGAGUGGUUACGGCAAGCUAUCGCUUUGAAUACAUUAGCAUGGAAUAAUAAUAUAGGGCGUAAGUUCUAUUUUGUUGGUUUCUAGAACAUACGCAAUGAUUAAUAGGGACAAUUGGGGGGCAUUC